rnacentral:rRNA from 1 species
UACGGAAGGCAGCAGUGGGGAAUAUUGCACAAUGGGCGAAAGCCUGAUGCAGCUAUGCCGCGUGUAUGAAGAAGGCCUUAGGGUUGUAAAGUACUUUCAUCGGGGAGGAAAAAACAAAACUAAUAAUUUUAUUUCUUGACGUUACCCGAAAAAGAAGCACCGGCUAACUCCGUGCCAGCGGCCGCGGUAAUACGGAGGGUGCUAGCGUUAAUCAGAAUUACUGGGCGUAAAGAGCACGUAGGUGGUUUUUUUAAGUCAGAUGUGAAAUCCCUGGGCUUAACCUGGAACUGCAUUUUGAAACUGAAAUACUAGAGUAUCGUAGAGGGAGGUAGAAUUCUAGGUGUAGCGGUGAAAUGCGUAGAUAUCUGGAGGAAUACCUGUGGCGAAAGCGGCCUCCUAAACGAAUACUGACACUGAGGUGCGAAAGCGUGGGGAGCAAACAGGGAUUAGAUACCCGU